UACGAAGGGUGCAAACGUUGUUCGGAAUUACUGGGCGUAAAGGGCUCGUAGGCGGCCAACUAAGUCGGACGUGAAAUCCCUCGGCUUAACCGGGGAACUGCGUCCGAUACUGGAUGGCUUGAGUUUGGGAGAGGGAUGCGGAAUUCCAGGUGUAGCGGUGAAAUGCGUAGAUAUCUGGAGGAACACCGGUGGCGAAGGCGGCAUCCUGGACCGAUAUUGACGCUGAUGCGCGAAAGCCAGGGGAGCAAACGGG
rnacentral:rRNA from 1 species